UGGGGAAUUUUUGGACAAUGGGCGAAAGCCUGAUCCAGCAAUGCCGCGUGUGUGAAGAAGGCCUUCGGGUUGCAAAGCNCUUUUUGNCCGGAAAAGAAAUCCUUGGCUCUAAUACAGUCGGGGGGAUGACGGUACCGGAAGAAUAAGCACCGGCUAACUACGUGCCAGCAGCCGCGGUAAUACGUAGGGUGCAANCGUUAAUCGGAAUUACUGGGCGUAAAGCGUGCGCAGGCGGUUUGCUAAGACCGAUGUGAAAUCCCCGGGCUCAACCUGGGAACUGCAUUGGUGACUGGGCAGGCUAGAGUAUGGCAGAGGGGGGUAGAAUUCCACGUGUAGCAGUGAAAUGCGUAGAGAUGUGGAGGAAUACCGAUGGCGAAGGCAGCCCCCUGGGGCCAAUACUGACGCUCAUGCACGAAAGCGUGGGGGA
rnacentral:rRNA from 1 species